CCUACGGGUGGCAGCAGUGGGGAAUAUUGCACAAUGGGGGAAACCCUGAUGCAGCAACGCAGCGUGGAUGAAGAAGUCCCCCGGUAUGUAAAGCCCUGUCAGCAGAGAAGAAAAUGACGGUACCUGACCAAUAAUCCCCGGCUAACUACGUGCCAGCAGCCGCGGUACUACGUAGGGGGCAAGCGUUAUCCGGAUUUACUGGGUGUAAGGGGAGCGUAGAGGGGAUGGAAAGUCAGUAGUGAAAGCCCGUGGCCCAACCACGGGACUGCUUUGGAAACUGUUUGGCUGGAGUGCAGGCGGGGUAGGCGGAAUUCGUGGUGUAGCGGUGAAAUGCGUAGAUAUUAGGAGGAACACCGGUGGCGAAGGCGGCUUACUGGACUGUAACUGACGUUGAGGCUCGAAGGCGUGGGGAGCAAACAGGAUUAGAUACCCGUGUAGUC
rnacentral:rRNA from 1 species